CCCACCGGGGCUAUUUUGUGUAUCACUGAUAGGGUGCUCACAUCUCCUAAUACUCUGAGAAAAAGGGGGCACUGAAGAACUAUGUGAUCAGCUGAGGAUCAUUGAUGAGGUAUUACGUUGCAGAUCCUCAAGCCAAUUUUCCCAUAAUGGGUGGGAAUAACAAACCCAUGAGGCGCUACAGCUGCCAUGCUGGUAUGCCUGCACAACAAGGCAGAGGAGUGACUUUGACACAGGCGGCUGACCUGGCUAGCCAAAAUGGAAAUGUAACACAAGAGGUGUGAACAUGGGCUGACAACCAAGAAAAAAUGUCUACUCAGUCUCCUUCUGGUAAUGAACAUCAGAACAGUGUCUGAGCCAUGCACAACUGCAGCAAGAGAAGCAGCUGAUGUUUCCUCCUGUUACUUCACUUUGACAUCUCUUCAGUUUGCCUUGAUAAUGUGCUUUUUAUUUACACAUACACACACACUUUUUCUUCAAGAAUUCUAUGCUUGUCACACCUAAUGAUUUAUUCACUUGUCAACCUUUUUUUUAGGUUGACAAAUAUCCUUUAGAGAUAAGGCCUUUGAAAAUAUGGUGCCAGUAAUUAAAAUGAAGAAUGUGUUACAGUAAAAAGUAGAAACAUGGGUCUAAAAGCUACACUGGUAUUUGUAGUGAUUUGAGUA